rnacentral:rRNA from 1 species
CAGUAGCCGCGGGAAAACGGAGGGUGCAAGCGUUAUCCGGAUUUAUUGGGUUUAAAGGGUCCGUAGGCGGAUCUGUAAGUCAGUGGUGAAAUCUCACAGCUUAACUGUGAAACUGCCAUUGAUACUGCAGGUCUUGAGUAAAUUUGGAGUGGCUGGAAUAAGUAGUGUAGCGGUGAAAUGCAUAGAUAUUACUUAGAACACCAAUUGCGAAGGCAGGUCACUAAGAUUUAACUGACGCUGAUGGACGAAAGCGUGGGGAGCGAACAGGAUUAGAUACCCCGGUAGUCCCUGUCUCUUAUAC